AGAAAAAUAAGCUAAAAAAAGCUAUUAGGUUCAUACCCUAAAUAUAGAAUUUAAAUUCUUUUUUCUA